GAUGAACGCUGGCGGCGUGCCUAAUGCAUGCAAGUCGAGCGAACAGACGAGGAGCUUGCUCCUCUGACGUUAGCGGCGGACGUGUGAGUAACACGUGGAUAACCUACCUAUCAGACUGGUAUAAUUUCGGGAAACCGGAGCUAAUCCCGUAUAAUAUCUUGAACCGCAUGGUUCAAUAGUGAAAGACGGUUUUGCUGUCUCUUAUAGAUGGAUCUGCGCCGCAUUAGCUAGUUGGUAAGGUAACGGCUUACCAAGGCAACGAUGCGUAGCCGACCGGAGAGAGGGGUAGGCCACACUGGAGGGUGGCCACGGACAAUACUACUGAGGUACGCAGCAGUAGCGAAUGUUACGCAGUAGGCGAAAGCCUGGCAGAACAACGCGACGUGAGAGAUGAAGGUCUUGCGAUCGUAAUACUCUGUUAUUAGUGAAAAACAAAUGUGUAAGGAACUAAGCACUGCUUGACGGUAACUAAUCAGAAAGCCACGGCUAACUACGUG
rnacentral:rRNA from 1 species